GGGAGUUUUUCCGGCGUUGCUUCCAGAGAAUGUGGGUCGCUCCGGUGGCCCUAAUGUGACACUCCAGAUCAGAUCGGGUUAACCGCAUCGGUCUAGGAGAAUAAAGUGGAAAAAAUCGUGUCAUGAGUCCUCCGAGUUUGGUUAAAAGAAUUGUAUCAGUACAACUAUCAUCUUCAGUAAGG